rnacentral:rRNA from 1 species
GAUGAACGCUGGCGGCGUGCUUAACACAUGCAAGACGAACGAUGAAGCCCAGCUUGCUGGGUGGAUUAGUGGCGAACGGGUGAGUAACACGUGAGUAACCUGCCCUUGACUCUGGGAUAAGCCUGGGAAACUGGGUCUAAUACUGGAUAUGACUUCUCAUCGCAUGGUGGGGGGUGGAAAGAUUUAUUGGUCUUGGAUGGACUCGCGGCCUAUCAGCUUGUUGGUGAGGUAAUGGCUCACCAAGGCGACGACGGGUAGCCGGCCUGAGAGGGUGACCGGCCACACUGGGACUGAGACACGGCCCAGACUCCUACGGGAGGCAGCAGUGGGGAAUAUUGCACAAUGGGCGCAAGCCUGAUGCAGCGACGCCGCGUGAGGGAUGACGGCCUUCGGGUUGUAAACCUCUUUCAGUAGGGAAGAAGCGAGAGUGACGGCACCUGCAGAAGAAGCGCCGGCUAACUACGUG